UACGUAGGAGACGAGCGUUGUCCGGAGUUACUGGGCGUAAAGGGUGCGCAGGUGGCGGCGCGCGUGGGGGGUGAAAUCGCCCGGCUUAACUGGGCGGGGGCCUUCCAGACGGCGUGGCUUGAGCAGCGGAGGGGGACGUGGAAUUCCGGGUGGAGCGGUGAAAUGCGCAGAUAUCGGGAGGAACACCGGUGGCGAAGGCGGUUCUCUGGGCCUGUACUGACGCUGAGGAGCGAAAGCGUGGGGAGCAAACAGG
rnacentral:rRNA from 1 species